UACGAAGGGGGCUAGCGUUGCUCGGAAUCACUGGGCGUAAAGCGCACGUAGGCGGCUUUCUAAGUCGAACGUGAAAUCCCCGGGCUCAACCCGGGAACUGCGUCCGAUACUGGAAGGCUUGAAUCCGGGAGAGGGAUGCGGAAUUCCAGGUGUAGCGGUGAAAUGCGUAGAUAUCUGGAGGAACACCGGUGGCGAAGGCGGCAUCCUGGACCGGCAUUGACGCUGAGGCGCGAAAGCCAGGGGAGCAAACGGG
rnacentral:rRNA from 1 species